GAUAAACGCUGGCGGCGCACAUAAGACAUGCAAGUUGAACGGACUUAAUCGAAAUAUUUAUAUUUUGAAGCGGUUAGUGGCGGACUGGUGAGUAACGCGUAAGGAACCUGCCUAUUAGAGGGGAAUAACAGUGAGAAAUCAUUGCUAAUACCGCAUAUGCCAUAGAUAUCACAUGAUAACAGUGGGAAAGGAGCAAUCCGCUAAUAGAUGGCCUUGCGUCUGAUUAGAUAGUUGGUGGGGUAACGGCCUACCAAGUCGACGAUCAGUAGCCGGACUGAGAGGUUGAACGGCCACAUGGGGACGGAGGCACGGGCCAGACUCCUACGGGAGGCAGCAGUCGGGAAUAUUGCGCAAGGGAGGAAACUCUGACGCAGUGACGCCGCGUAUAGGAAGAAGGUUUUCGGAUUGUAAACUAUUGUCGUUAGGGAAGAGAAAGGACAGUACCUAAGGAGGAAGCUCCGGCUAACUACGUG
rnacentral:rRNA from 1 species